rnacentral:rRNA from 1 species
CAGUAGCCGCGGUAAAACGGAGGGUGCAAGCGUUAAUCGGAAUUACUGGGCGUAAAGCGCACGCAGGCGGUCUGACAAGUCAGAUGUGAAAUCCCCGGGCUUAACCUGGGAACUGCAUUUGAAACUGUCAGGCUGGAGUCUUGUAGAGGGGGGUGGAAUUCCAGGUGUAGCGGUGAAAUGCGUAGAGAUCUGGAGGAAUACCGGUGGCGAAGGCGGCCCCCUGGACAAAGACUGACGCUCAGGUGCGAAAGCGUGGGGAGCAAACAGGAUUAGAUACCCGAGUAGUCCCUGUCUCUUAUAA